GGCGGCGCUUGAACUUGAACCCAAGUCUGUCCCACACACAAAUAGCUGAACCUACCUCGAAGGCGACGAAGAGACCCAGACGCACGUCCAGCAGCUUCCAGUAGAAGAGGUUCCCCUGUGGAUCGCGAAGGGCCGCGUACCUAAGCUGAGGAGGGCGCGAGGUCAGCGAGGCUCUCCCGCCCCUCCCGGCCCUGGAGCCUGGCCCCGCCCCUUUUACAGCCAGGCCCCGGCCCUCCCCCAGGCUCAGCGCUCCGCCCCUCCCAGACAGGCCCAGACCCCCGCCUUGAGCUCCCACUUGCAGGGCGUGAGGUCCUCCUGGGCAAGGUAGGCUGGACGUGCGCGCGCAGUUGUGCAGCUGACAAAGCUCCUGUUAGGCUGUGGAGUUCCUACUGGUACAGGAGAUGCAUUAGGUCCGAGGUGAAGGCGAGGAGGAAAGCCUGCAGAGCCAGAGAUACUCCAAGGCCCAGUCUCCCAACUACCCCCAGCUGGGUCCAAACCCACUCCCGUGGGCAGGAUGAGCCUGCGCCUAGAAUUCUAGCAAUCUACCUCUUAUUUUCCUGUCUCUGACCCUGGAAUUCAGCCCGCAUUUCCCUAUUCCUAAGCCACCUUUCCCCGUCUCUUAUCUCUAUUUCCCCCUCUGACCCUGUAUGCCCCUCCUUUACCCCAUGCUCACAUUCACAAUGACCACAAGAUGGGCCAUGGCCUCAAGCAGAAGCGGCCAGAUUCCAAUGCCCACUCAGCCACUGGCCUCCAAUACUCGCACAGGAUCUUGUGGGUGUCCAGUCGGAUCUCCACCCAGUUGUUGAGCACAGCAAACAGGGGUGCCAGAGCAAGGGCCCAAAGCCCCCUCACCAUGACGAGGAUGGCUGCAGAGCUGUGGGAAGCCAGAAGCCGGGCAACAGCUGUAUCUGUGCGUCUCUGCUCCCUAUAGACUGCCACCUGCCAGAGAGAAUCCUGAGGUCAGCUCCCUCCCCUUAAGGUCCCAGCUCCACCCUCCCCAGGCAGUCGCCUGGCUACCUCUACCUCUGUGUGUUGGAGAAGUUCGUGUCAUGGGACUCACUGCCUAGGAAUCGGUGAGCAGAGCAGGGGUCAGAAGCCCUCUGCCCAGUGGGAGACCGAACACAAUGGCAUUGCAGAGGCUAGUCUCUAGGCUGGGGACAGAGGGUGGAGACGUGCCAGUUGCUAAAGCCAGAGCUAGCCCAUCUACCCACAAAACAGCCUGGGCUGGUGUGUUCCAGCCAGAUGAGCAUCUGAGACGGAUUGAAGAAGUGGGCAUCAGGCACCGGGAGCCGCUAGGACAGACUGGCUAAAGACCUAAAGUGAGUGAGGCUGGAG
rnacentral:lncRNA from 1 species